GGCGAACGCUGGCGGCGUGCUUAACACAUGCAAGUCGAACGGAAAGGCCCUGCUUUUGGGGGGUGCUCGAGUGGCGAACGGGUGAGUAACACGUGAGUAACCUGCCCUUGACUUUGGGAUAACUUCAGGAAACUGGGGCUAAUACCGGAUAGGAGCUCCUGCUGCAUGGUGGGGGUUGGAAAGUUUCGGCGGUUGGGGAUGGACUCGCGGCUUAUCAGCUUGUUGGUGGGGUAGUGGCUUACCAAGGCUUUGACGGGUAGCCGGCCUGAGAGGGUGACCGGCCACAUUGGGACUGAGAUACGGCCCAGACUCCUACGGGAGGCAGCAGUGGGGAAUAUUGCACAAUGGGCGGAAGCCUGAUGCAGCAACGCCGCGUGCGGGAUGACGGCCUUCGGGUUGUAAACCGCUUUCGCCUGUGACGAAGCGUGAGUGACGGUAAUGGGUAAAGAAGCACCGGCUAACUACGUG
rnacentral:rRNA from 1 species